UUACGGCCACAUCACGCUGAAACACCGGUUCCCGUACGAUCACCGAAGUUAAGCAACGUUGAAUCUGGUCUGUACCUAGAUGGGUGACCACUUAGUAAUACCAGGUGCUGUAA